rnacentral:rRNA from 1 species
AUGCUUACGGGCAAGUGGACAACAACUUCCACAUACGACAUCUACAUGGUAGACACCACAUGCAACAACGGUGGAGGCAAAAAAAAAAAAAACGAUGUCGGAGGUGGCAACGGUGACGACAACAUGAACAAUAAUAAUAACAACGGCAAUAAGGCUAAUUUCGACGAAAAUGCCGAUGAGCUAAACAACAACCUCAACCUCAAUGAGUCACUUAACAGCCCCAACCAAGACGCACUGAGGCUAAGGUUGGUCCGUACGGCAAACAAGAUAGCAAACGAGAAACACAGGCUUCGGGAGGAGCAAGCCUACCUGGGAGACCGCUGGAAUAAGCUCUUCCAGGCCGAGGAGGUGCUAAGUCCAAGUUGA